CUCAAACCGUCCUCGCUCGGUUUGUAAGAAGAGGGAAUACUUUUCCCUCUCCAUCUCUCCUCUUUUCUUCGUUCCGUUAAUACUUCCCAAAAUUUCGACAACUAUCCCUCCAAGAAGAAGAGGAGAGGGCGAGUAAAUUAGAAAAAGAAGGAGAAGAGGGAGAAGGGAGAUGGAGCUGAGACCGGUGCCGGCGAGCGUCGCCAAGCAAGCGGAGCUCCGGAGACUCGACGGCAACGCCUUCUUCAAGAAAGAACGCAUCGGCGCCGCCAUCGACGCCUACACCGAGGCAAUUACUUUGUGCCCAAACAUCGUGGUGUAUCGGACAAACCGGGCACUCUGCUAUCAGAAGCGGAAAGAGUGGACAAAAGUUGAAGAGGAUUGCAGAAAAGCUCUCGAGCUUGACAAGGAUUCUGUUAAGGCUCACUAUAUGCUAGGCCUUGCAUUACUGGAAAGGCAAGAAUAUGUUGGGGGAAUCAAAGAAUUGGAGAAGGCUUUUGAUCUUGGGAGAGGGACAAACCCUGUGGGCUGUAUGGUGGAGGAGAUUUGGCAGUCUCUUGCCAAAGCCAAAUACAUGGAAUGGGAACAUUCAUCCAGCAAGCGUGCAUGGAGGCUGCAAAACUUGAAGGAAACCUGUGAGAAAGCUUUGGCAGAGUAUCACUUUCUUGAUGAUUCCCGAGCUGAACAUGCCUCUAAAGAUGCUGCACAUGAUCACUCUGUACAACUUGAAUUCCUGCAGGCGAUCUUUAGGAAAGCUGCACAAGCUGACACACUGACACAAGUGCCUGACUACCUGUGCUGUAAGAUUACACUUGAUAUCUUCCGGGAUCCUGUUAUCACUCCAAGUGGUGUUACCUAUGAAAGGGCAGUGCUGCUUGAACAUCUUAAUCAGGUGGGCAAGUUUGACCCAGUUACAAGGGAACCACUCGAUCAACACCAGUUGGUACCAAAUCUGGCCAUCAAGCAAGCUGUGCAAGUGUAUCUGAAUGAGCAUGGUUGGGCUUAUAAGAUGAGCUGAUGCAGUCUGGAGCUGUCAAGCCAAACUGAUAUACAUCAUUUUAUCCCUUUUGUAUUAUUGAUGCCGUCAUUGGCUUCAGCAGUGGGUUUGCAGCAAGACAAAGUUCUCAGGCAGUAUGAGUUGGGAUAAGAAUGUUGAAGUUUACUCUGCCCUCCAUCAUCUCCAGCCUUUGCAUUUGAGCACCACGGUACUGCAGAAUGAUAUUGGAAUUACAGGCAUCCAAAAUCAACAACUUCAAGAAGGCAUUGUAGGACCAACAACUAAGGUAGUUUCCUGAAAUAUCAGAACCUAGUUGAGAUAUCUGAGGAACUAGGGUUUGGUUGGUUUAGGGAAAGAGAGACAUGGACUAUGGAUAUUUGAUACCAUAGGACAAUAAGCGUGCAGCGGAUCAUUGACAAUAAUCAUGCAAACAUAUCCUUUAUAAACUUGCAAUAUGGAUGGGUAUGUGGAUUGGAUAAUUAAGGAGGAUGAAUCUUAAAGGCCUAUCUCAACAGGAUCUAGAAUGCAUAAAAAAACUGCUCUUCAUUCACAUAUGUGAUUGAAAUGGUGUAUUCUUCAUCAUCAUAUGCUCAUUCAAGGAUUUAAA